AUUGAACGCUGGCGGCAUGCCUUACACAUGCCAGUCGAACGGCAGCACGGGUGCUUGCACCUGGUGGCGAGUGGCGAACGGGUGAGUAAUACAUCGGAACAUGUCCUGUAGUGGGGGAUAGCCCGGCGAAAGCCGGAUUAAUACCGCAUACGAUCUACGGAUGAAAGCGGGGGACCUUCGGGCCUCGCGCUAUAGGGUUGGCCGAUGGCUGAUUAGCUAGUUGGUGGGGUAAAGGCCUACCAAGGCGACGAUCAGUAGCUGGUCUGAGAGGACGACCAGCCACACUGGGACUGAGACACGGCCCAGACUCCUACGGGAGGCAGCAGUGGGGAAUUUUGGACAAUGGGCGAAAGCCUGAUCCAGCAAUGCCGCGUGUGUGAAGAAGGCCUUCGGGUUGUAAAGCACUUUUGUCCGGAAAGAAAUCCUUGGCCCUAAUACGGUCGGGGGACGACGGUACCGGAAGAAUAAGCACCGGCUAACUACGUG
rnacentral:rRNA from 1 species